rnacentral:rRNA from 1 species
AACGAACGCUGGCGGCAUGCCUAACACAUGCAAGUCGAACGAGACCUUCGGGUCUAGUGGCGCACGGGUGCGUCACGCGUCGGAACCUUCCCUUAGGUUCGGAAUAACUCUCCGACAGGGGUGCUAAUACCGGAUAAUGUCUUCUGACCAAAGAUUUAUCGCCUUUGGAUGGGCCCGCGUUGGAUUAGCUAGUUGGUAGGGUAAAAGCCUACCACGGCGACGAUCCAUAGCUGGUAUGUGAGGAUGAUCAGCCACACUGGGACGGAGACACGGCCCAGAAUCUUACGGGAGGGAGCAGUGGGGAAUAUUGGACAACGGGCGAAAGCCUGAUCCAGCAAUGCUGCGUGAGUGAUGAAGGCCUGAGGGUUGUAAAGCUCUUUUACCCGGGAUGAUAAUGACAGUACCGGAAGAAUAAGCACCGGCUAACUCCGUG